rnacentral:lncRNA from 1 species
GAAGUUCCCUGUUCGAGCAGCAGGAGCGGUUGCUUCUGAGUCAUGGCGUACCCAUUCUGGACCCUGGACUUCAAGCGACGGUUCGGAGACGCCGGGGCCAUACCGGAGCCUGCCCUGCUGGAACACACCGCGUGGCGGCAGCAUCGGCAUCGUUCAGGCAGCUUACAAAUCAUUGGUUUCACGGACCUGAGGAGGAGAUCACAUUGGGACACCGAAAGUUCAAUAAAACUUCCGUUCGUCGUGCA